rnacentral:rRNA from 1 species
UUAGUCUUACCGGUGGAUCACUCGGCUCGUAGGUCGAUGAAGAUCGCAGCCAAAUGCGAUAGAUAGUGUGAACUGCAGAUAUUCUGAGCACUAAAGCAUCGAAUGUAUAUUACGCCUUGGGACUCACAUCCCUUGGUGCGCCUGGUUCAGGGUCAUU